UAGGUGGAGGAAUAUUAUUCCAACAUUUA
rnacentral:sRNA from 1 species